UACGGAGGGAGCUAGCGUUGUUCGGAAUUACUGGGCGUAAAGCGUGCGUAGGCGGCGAUUCAAGUCAGGGGUGAAAGCCUGGAGCUCAACUCCAGAACUGCCCUUGAAACUAGAUCGCUAGAAUCUUGGAGAGGUUAGUGGAAUUCCGAGUGUAGAGGUGAAAUUCGUAGAUAUUCGGAAGAACACCAGUGGCGAAGGCGACUAACUGGACAAGUAUUGACGCUGAGGUGCGAAAGCGUGGGGAGCAAACAGG
rnacentral:rRNA from 1 species